rnacentral:rRNA from 1 species
UACGGAGGAUGCGAGCGUUAUCCGGAUUUAUUGGGUUUAAAGGGUGCGCAGGCGGCGUGUCAAGUCAGCGGUAAAAUGUCGGGGCUCAACCCCGGCCGGCCGUUGAAACUGGCGUGCUCGAGUUGGAGAGAAGUAUGCGGAAUUCGUGGUGUAGCGGUGAAAUGCAUAGAUAUCACGAAGAACCCCGAUUGCGAAGGCAGCAUACCGGCUCCACACUGACGCUGAGGCACGAAAGCGUGGGAAUCGAACAGG